rnacentral:rRNA from 1 species
GAUCCUGGCUCAGAUUGAACGCUGGCGGCAGGCCUAACACAUGCAAGUCGAACGGUAACAGGAGGAAGCUUGCUUCUUUGCUGACGAGUGGCGGACGGGUGAGUAAUGUCUGGGAAACUGCCUGAUGGAGGGGGAUAACUACUGGAAACGGUAGCUAAUACCGCAUAACGUCGCAAGACCAAAGAGGGGGGACCUUCGGGCCGUCUUGCCAUCGGAUGUGCCCACGAUGGGAGUUAGCUAGUAGGUGGGGUAACGGG